rnacentral:sRNA from 1 species
CACCAUGCCUGGGUCCUCACUCCCACUGCUCUCUUGCAGGGAAGGACUUGGAGCCCAACGGCCCGUCGCUGCCCAGGGAUGAAGGGCCCCCGACCCCAAGCUCUGCCACGAAGGUGCCACCGGCAGAGUACAGGCUGUGCAAUGGGUCAGACAAGGAAUGUGUGUCCCCCACUGCCAGGGUCACCAAGAAGGAGACUCUCAAGGCGCAGAAGGAGAACUACCGGCAGGAGAAGAAGCGCGCCACACGGCAGCUGCUCAGCGCUCUGACCGACCCCAGCGUGGUCAUCAUGGCUGACAGCCUGAAGAUCCGUGGCACCCUGAAGAGCUGGACCAAGCUGUGGUGCGUGCUGAAGCCGGGGGUGCUGCUCAUCUACAAGACGCCCAAGGUGGGCCAGUGGGUGGGCACGGUGCUGCUACACUGCUGCGAGCUCAUCGAGCGGCCCUCCAAGAAGGACGGCUUCUGCUUCAAGCUCUUCCACCCGCUGGAUCAGUCCGUCUGGGCCGUGAAGGGCCCCAAAGGUGAGAGCGUGGGCUCCAUCACACAGCCCCUGCCCAGCAGCUACCUGAUCUUCAGGGCCGCCUCCGAGUCAGAUG